UAAAUUUUCAGCGUCCGUUUUUUAAACAAGUUAUAUGGUCAAAUUCAAGUCAUAAAUCCAAUUAGAUAUUUCUCUGACUCGAUUAUUUUAACGUAGUUCCCCGCAUGAUGACAUCACAACAUGAACAAUUUGAAAAUAAUAACAAUAGGAUAGUUUAUCUUAUAAAAUACCAUUUAUCAAUUAUUGAUCUUGCUAAUCCAGACAAAUGAUGUUAAUUAUGAAAAAAUAUGCUGAAGUAUGUAAACAAUUUGAGUAAUAACAAUACAAUAAGAAUCCAAAGAUACGUUUAACGAAGAGUGUAUGAAGAUUGACAAUUACUUUUUCCAGUACAACAAAGAAUAUAAGUUGAUGUACAGAGAAAAGAAUGUAUAAAAUAAGAAAAAUACAAAAAAGUGUGAUAGAUGAUAGAUAGUAGGAAGAAAAAGCUAUAACUUCCGCAAGGAAAAAAAUGAUAUACCUUUGUUUCCCAAAUAAGAUUGUAGCUUCAAGUUUUAUUUUUUUCCCUCACUUAAAUGUAAAAAACUGUGUAUAACAACUGUUGUAUUCAUUACUCAACCUUAUAUACAUGUAAAGCUUAGUUUAUGCAUCAAAAAUCAAAACUAAAUUGAAUUUAACAUUAAACUAAACUUUCUUGGUGGUUAUUUUUUUUCGUUUAUGCAUAAUUAAUAGGAUAAGCAGUAUGGGUUCUUUUUGUCAUAUAAAUGUGGAAAGCUCUAGAUACUAUCUAUCAGUGUUCCAUCGUCUAAAGGAUAUUGCUGACUUUCGACAUUUUUUUGAUAUCAGUUUUGAAAAUAAAACACCACGACGGAAAUCGGGGCAAUAAUGCAAAUAUUAUUUCCAUUACCAAAGAACAAGGAUGUUGUAAACAAAACAAUACCACCAAUACAGACUAACCUGACGUAUUUUGUGCUCAUAACACAUAAUUUGUUUUAUAUUUUUUGUUUCAUUAGGAAUGAAAACUUUACAAUAGUAGCUAAUUGGUUGGGUUAUGAGCUAUUGGACCCUAUGAGCGUGUUGAAGUCAUCUUCAAUCAUAGGACCUUUUCUACAUGCCGAAGCAGUUUUUAUCUUCCAGAACCGUUUAUAGAAGAUAUGGUUUUUCGAGAGGCCGAUAGAUCAGUUAAGAAUUCCACAUUUAUUGUUGAUCUGUGAACCUUUGAGAGACUAAAUAUUGGUCUGCGGACACUAGCCCAACGUUCAACGCGUUUUAGAGUGAAAAUUGAACCAAAAUACACGUGUUUUACUAUAGAAUAACGCAACAGAAUCUAAAAAAUAUAUAGAGGUUUAAAUAAAAUGAUAACUAAAGGAUACAACUUCUAGUUACCUGUGCUUGGUACAUUCUAAUAAGACUGGAAUUGAUUCCAUACCAUGAAGAUACUCCACUCAGAUUCCACAGUUGAUUCGAAUGUCUGUUAAAAGAGUCUAUUUUUAUUCUAUUAGUGAAUUGGAUACAACUUAGGAACAUAUAUUGCGAUGAAUGGCGUUUAACAGUAGCUCUUUUUAGAUAACACGUUGGAUUAAGUUCAGUAUUACCUAAAAUAACGAAGAAAAAAUUAUCAUCACUAUAAAACAUACCCCAUUUUGUUGUACAUACCGACUAGCUGUGAACUACCCCAUAUAAAAGCAACAAACUGGUAAUCAUUCAAAUUCCAAGUUUUGUUACCACCAAGAGAAGUCAUUUUAUAAGUUUUUUGUAGUUUUUGAGCAACAUAUAAAUAUCUAAAAAUGACAAAUUCAUUAUUACCUAGUCAACAUAGCAGAAAUUUGCGUGCCAGAUUACAGUAUUGGGGUUAGUUCUCCAUGCAAUGUAUGCAGUCUUACCUAACAGAAUGUUUCUAAAUUCGUGCGCUAAAAUUCAGGAUGUGAUUUUGAGUUUUCGUUACUUUUUUCCAAAUUUUAGUUUGAAAUAAAUUAGGGUUAAAUUAGCAAACCUUUUUUUCGAGAUUUAGUUGUAUAAAAUGAAAAUAUUUCUUGAAAUAUCUACAUUAUUCAGAAUAAUCUAGAUUUGGAAUGAUUUACAGAUAUUUUAGGUUGUUUCAAAAUUCAAUCAGAAAUAUUUACUGAUGGUCGCACAUUAGUUUCGGCUUGGAUUAUUACUUUGUGCAAUUAGUAUUUUCACAUAACGAAUAAAUUGUUAUCGAAUUUAUUAUAUUCAUUAAAUGUUUAUCAAUUA